UGUUUUCAGUAGAAAGAGGAAGAGAAACGGUGGAAGUGAAGAUGUGAAUCAAAAGCAGACGGCUGACUCGAGUGAUGAUACAUACACAGCUCUGGAUCCAGUGUCCAGAACAUCUGCUGACAUUUACAGCACGAUCAGAUCUGCUGACUCCAGAGCUCCUGAUGACACCUACACGGCUCUCCAGCUUCAGUCCAGAUCUUCUGAAUAUGAGACUCUAGCAGGAACUCAUUAAACUCUCCUCACAGGAUACUGCUCACAUGGAAAUACUCAGAAACUCAUUCAUAUCAUAUCUGAUGCUUAUUUCAUUAUCAGUAACUUUUAUAAACCUUCCUGAAGUAACUGUGUAUACUGUUAUGGAGCUUAUAACAU